ensembl:lncRNA
UUUCUGUAGUGGAAUGAAGGGCUCCGGUGCGACAGUGCAGGCCCCGUAGUCCCCGCCUCCCCAGACCUGGCUGAGCUUUUCAAACACCAGGUUCCUGGGCCCCACCUCAGAAUUAGCGAUUCUGAAGGGGACUGAGGGGGGCUGAAAACUACUGUCCUCGGAAUGACUGAGUGUCAGCCACGCUUGGGAAUCACUGGUGAGGUGGUUUUUUACAGGCAGGGCACAGAGGCUCCUGGAGAGUGACCGAGGGUCACCAGCAGCCCAGGCAGUCAGGUGAGGUGUGGGACUUCUCACCAGGGACGUUUCCCCACUGGGCUUUCUUCCUCAGGUGGCCAUUUCUCCCGGUUGGUCAUCGUCCCGAAUUCCAAAAGGGAACAGGGGAGAAAGGAAAACAGGCACGUGGCUCUUGAUAAGCGUUAUUCUGUAAUUUGUGCUUUGGUCUUUUUACUGUCUCUUCUGGAAGCCACUGUUUAUUAGAUUACUGAUGUACUGAGCCCCGCCAAUCUCCAUUUAUCACUCAGGAAAGAAGGGAGCAGGUGGAACGUGCCGUUGUGUUCUAUGACCCCUGCUCUGAGACACCCCAGGAGGCUCCCACACGAGGGAGGGCCCAGGGAUUCCGACCAGAGGAGGCUGUCGGAGCAUCUCCCCAACUCCGGCACCAGAUCCUAUCCCGCCCGGCCGUCGCCAGGUAGCCCUGUGCUGGGGGCACACUCUUUAACAAGUCUCGAGCUGCUUCCCACCUCCUAAAGGACGGGAGAGAUCCUGGCCAGGCCUCCUCCCAGGGGUCGAGGUCUCCUAGUCUGCAUGAGUUGUGAUGGUGGGUUCUGCACCUCCUCCUGAAAUGCGUGACCACCCCCGCUGGUCCCACAGUUACCAGAACUGACAGCAGUAGCAUCCGUGUGGCAUGGACAUCCUUGCUGUCUCCAUGGAUUCUGAGCAUCUUCAGAGGGGAAGGGGCCAUGUCCCUGACCUCUAGCAUAAACCUCUGAAAUGUAGGGCCGCUCUCCAGGUGCUUGGAGAGCCCAUCCCCUGUGUCCGCCAAGCCUGGCAGUUUUUAAAGUUUUUUGAAAUGUUUUGAUACUUUUUGAUACCAUUUGCUAAUAACCAUUUUGUAGUUGCCUGACGGGGUUUUCAUUUUCCAUCUCCCCACCACCACCCCUCCCGAGGUCAGCUCCAGGGUCUUGUCCUAGCGACCUCUCAUGGCCAUGAUGCUCUGCCAUGGCUGCGAUCUGAUCCAUGCUUUUGAGUUGUAUGAUGUCACACAUGGCCCAGGAGUGUGACUGUCUUGGUCCUCCAGCUGAGCAAAAGGGCAGUGGUGUGUGAUGAGGACGCGCCAACACCCUGAGACGUUGGAACAUUUCUUCCAAAGCUCCUACCGCAGCAGAGUGUGCAGAGUUGAAAAGAUCCCUGAGGGCCGAUCCAUCUGUCACCUUUCCAGUAUGGGUCAUUUUUCAGCCCAGGGCCUGGCUGGGUCUCGUCACUCUGGUUUGUCCACCCUUUCUUUUAUAAAGACACAUUAACUUGAAAUCCAACAAAAGCUGUAAGCUAAACCAUCCUGCACUUUACAGAGUUUUGGAGAUCGCUCAUCUUUUUUUUUUUUUUUUUUUUCCCUUUUUACACGGGUAGAAUUUGUGGCUUUGCAGGGUGUUCGGUUUGGUGGUCUCAAGAAAUUGUAUUUUGGUUGCCUUAGAAGAAUUAAUGAAUGUACAAAUUUGGGGGAGGGGGGCCAGAGGAGAAACCUUUCUGUGUCAGUUUUCUUUGAGAAAAGGAACUCUACUUUUCCAAGUUACUUGAGCUGUCUUUACAGGUUUGCUUGUGAUAGAAGGAAAAUGUCCUUUGGAUCAACUGAAAUCCAUCAUUACCUCCAGCUCCCUUGCAGAAUUAGAUCUUUGAUGAUUAAGUGUUGAUAAUUCACUGGGUAUGUUCUGGCUGCUAAUGUUACUGAAGCUGGUUAUCACGUGUGUGCUAUUUUUUUCAUUUGUUGCUUUUGUAUUGUAACUGUAUGACACCCAAAGCUUUUCUGUUUCUUAUCUCUUCUUAAUUUCCUGCAUGUUGAAGUUUUUUUCCCCUUCUGUUUUUAACUCCAUAAAG